rnacentral:tRNA from 1 species
GCCGGGAUAGCUCAGCUGGGAGAGCAACAGACUGAAGCAGCGUUCGGUGGCUGUAUUCUGGAGGUCGCGUGUUCAAUCCACGCUCCUGGCA